CUAUGAUUUAACAUAAGAAGGGACUACCUCCACCAAUCCCAAGAGAAGAACACAUGGAAAUAGAAAUAGUUCAUCAAAAGCCAAGUUCCCUACAGAUAUGGAGGUAUACCCCUGAAAUCUCAGCUACUUGCUAGGGUGAGUUAGGAGAAUCACUUGAACUCAAGAGCUAGAGACCAUUCUGGGCAACAUAACAGGAACUUGCCUCAAAACAAACAAAUUAAAAGCCAAGUCCCUGUUGAGGCCAAACAGGACUCUGAGGUAAUGAAUACUUUCAGGACUACUGGAACCCUCAGAGUAAACUUUAGGGUAGAAUUUCCCUUUUAAUGAUUGAGAGAUAAAGAAUGUUACCCACACAAUGAUUUCCUAAAGGCUAUGCCUUAUCUAAUGCAAAAUGAUUCUAAAAUCAGAUAUUAAUCCAAACACUGUUUAUAAUCAAUAUCUUGGUCAAAUAUUUAUUCUAUACAUAAUAUUGUUUAGCGUACAUGGGAGGUUUACUAUGUACUAGGCAUAUACUGAAUAAAACAUUAAGUCAUUUUCAUCCCACAACUAUUUCCCAGGGGGUGGGUAAAAUUUCUGGUCUCCUGUGUCAUAGGGAUCAGGCAAGAAAAUAGAACUCUAGAAAAUAAUCCUGAAGUGGAGUGAGGAAAUGGAGUGAGAAGUCAUGUCUGCCCAAGGGAUAAGUGUCUGGGGAAGCUAUUGUGGUAAGAUGUCAGCGAAGCAAACUACUGAAGGUCAAGUUUGUUUCAAUUCCCAACCAUGAGUCACAUAGUCAAGUGAAAACCAAGACAAAAACGUAGGAAUCUAGAAUGUGAUGUCUGGUAGAAACUUGACAGGAAAUCAAAUUAUGAAAUUAAGAUGAAUCAAACUUUCAUGUGAGAGGCAAAUAUUCAAGCAGAAAUUACAACAUAGUGUGAUAAAUGAUCAAUAGUUGUGUGUGCAGCAACAAGAAGAGGAACUGAAUAAUUUAGCACAUGGGGAUCUGGGAUGGCUUCAACAUGGAAGAGGAGGUGUGUCUGCCAAAGUUUCCAAGGAGUUCCCAAAGAGAAGAGGGAACUUGACUCAGGACCAGGGAGACCUUAGGUUACUUAAGGGAAUGAUAUUUCCAUAUGUGCCAGUCAGAAGCAUAGACAGAGUUUAUUUAGGAAAGUAGGGUACGCAUUCAAGGAAGAAUAGAGGAAAUUUCAAGAAAAAAGAUAACUUUAAAAAUAAAGUAUUAAGAAGACAAACAACAAUAAGUGUUGGCGAGGAUGUGAGGAAAAAGGUACACUCAUACAUUGUUAGUGGGACUGCAAAUUGGUGCAGCCAAUGUAGAAAGCAGUAUGGAGAUUCCUUGAAAAACUGAGAAUGCAACCACCAUUUGACCCAGCUAUCCAUCUCCUUGGUCUAUACACAAAGAACUUAAAAACAGCAUAAUACAGGAAUACAGCCACAUCAAUGUUUAUAGCAGCACAAUUCACAAUAGCUAAACUGUGGAACCAAUGUAGAUGCCCUGCAAUAGAUGAAUAGAUUUAAAAAAUGUGGCAUAUAUACUCAAUGGAAUAUUACUCAGCAAUAAAAGAGAAUAAAAUCAUGGGAUUUGCAGGUAAAUGGAUGGAGUUAAUGGAGAUAAUGCUAAGUGAAGUUAGCCAAUCCCCAAAAAACAAAUGCAGAAUGUUUUCUCUGAUAUAAG
rnacentral:lncRNA from 1 species